AGAUGGUUGGACCGUAGCAGUCACCUGCACAAUCAAUAAGCAAAUCAACUUCACAAUCACAAGCAAUGCUAAAAAUUUCAGCUAAUUAAACUAAUUCAAUAACUUGACCACAUAUUAUAUAAAUAUUAAGCAGCUUGCAACUUGAUUUUGAAGAUUAUCUCUGAAGAAGGCUUGUAAUCUCUCUCUCAAAAAGAAUACAAAAAAAUAAAAAUUGUCUUUCCCACGCAACAUGAACUGUUGAAAGAAUAAAUGAAAAUCAGAUGAAAGCCUCACUAGCUAUCCUCUCACCAGUCUAAAGCCAAUAAGUCUCACAAAAAUCAGAAUAAAAGAGCAGAUAUAGUAAAUUUCAAUGAAGAAUUUGGAUGAUUUGAUCACAUCAAAUUGCAAAACACAGAGAGAUAAAAAUGAGAGAGAAAGAACCACUAAAGUGUAAGAAUAAGACCUAUUUAAAACCUAAACUUUCUCACUGUAAACUUAGCAAAAUAUACAUUUAGGAUAGAACUAAAAAACAUGCAAUUAAUCCAUCAGAUUCUAGUUGACAGAAAAUUA
rnacentral:misc_RNA from 1 species